GCUGUUCAUCUAGCCCCAAAAUAAUAUUUACAUUAACUAUUAAUCCUUAUUCACAAAUUAAAACAUUUUUUCAAUUUAGUAAAGGUGAUAAAAAAAUUUCUUUAGAGCAAUAUAAACAGUACCGUAAGGGAAAAAUGAAAUAGAAAUGAAACAACUCAAAAGCACAAGAAAGUAGAGUUUACCUCUCGUACCUUUUGCAUCAUGGUCUAACUAGUUAAAUUAGGCAAAAAGAUUUUUAGUCUAACUCCCCGAAUCUGAGCGAGCUACUUUAAAACAGCUUUAUGAGCUAACCCGUCUCUGUUGCAAAAGAGUGGGAAGAUUUUAUAGUAGCGGUGACAGACCUAACGAGCUCAGUGAUAGCUGGUUGCUUUUUAAAAGGAUUUUAGUCCAACUUAAAGUUACAUCUAUACAAAAAAAUUAUUUACUUUCAAGUAAUUCAAAUAAGGUUCAGCCUAUUUGAAAAAGGAUACAACCUCUUCCACUGGGUUAUUAAAUUUUAUUAUGCAUUAGUAGGCCUAAAAGCAGCCACCUUAAACAAAAGCGUCAAAGCUUAUGCAUUAAAAAAUCUCAAUUUCUUUGACUUUCCCCAACCCUUCUUCUUUAAAAAGCAACUCUAUACUUAUAUAGAAAAUUUUAUGUUAGAACUAGUAACAAGAAGCAUAUACUUCUCUUUAAUGUAACUAUAAAUCAGUAAGGACCUUCCGCUGAUAAUUAACAUCUUUAAUACCUUAGUAGCAACACUUUCAAGAAAACCCUACUUCCGCUUUCGUUAACCUAACACAAGAACAUUUAAAGAAAGAUUUAAAGAAAAAGAAGGAACUCGGCAAACAUUAGCCUCGCCUGUUUACCAAAAACAUCGCCUCUUGAUUUCUAUAAGAGGUCCAGCCUGCCCAGUGACAAUGUUCAACGGCCGCGGUAUCCUAACCGUGCGAAGGUAGCGUAAUCACUUGUCCUUUAAAUGAGGACUAGUAUGAAUGGCUUCACGAGGGCUACACUGUCUCCUUUUUCUAAUCAGUUAAACUAAUCUUCCCGUGAAGAAGCGGGAAUCUUCCCAUAAGACGAGAAGACCCUAUGGAGCUUUAAACAACUGAUUCACUUGCAUAUUUACUUUCUCAAUACUUCUAUAUUAAACCUAGCAAUUUGUUUCUAGUUUUAGGUUGGGGCGACCACGGAGAAAAAAUUAACCUCCAUGAAGAAGGAAACUUUACUUCUUAGCAAAAAAUUACAUUUUUAUGCACCAAUAAAUUGACCUAAAUUGACCCAAUAAUUUGAUCAACGAACCAAGUUACCCUAGGGAUAACAGCGCAAUCCACUUCAAGAGCUCUUAUCGACAAGUGGGUUUACGACCUCGAUGUUGGAUCAGGGUAUCCCAGUGGUGCAGCAGCUACUAAUG
rnacentral:rRNA from 1 species